GGCUCAGGUGAUUCUUCAAGAGUUUGGGGUGACUGAUUUUAUCUGGGGGUGACUGUGAAGCAGGAAUGCUUCUUGGAAGGAUCUUACUCAGCAGAGAAGGAAACUGCAGGGCUGAAGAGGCAAACGGGACACAUUUGGGAAGGGCCACAAAUGUGUCCCUUGGGAAAAAGUGGACAGCUGCAUGGAAAAAUUCUCCUCAAAAAGAAUAGGAGGCUGGGCGCGGUGGCUCACACCUGUAAUUCUAGCACUUUGAGAGGCCGAGGCGGGUGGAUCACUUGAGGUCAGGAGUUCAAGACCA
rnacentral:lncRNA from 1 species